CUGGCUUCCCCACUGCUCUAGGUCAAAGAGGAGUGAAAAAGAGCAACUGCUCUGUUUCUGGAACAGAAGCCCUUCCUGCCCUGACAGAAGUGGCACGUGGUGCACGUGGCCCUGUAGCGGUGGCAUAGGCACUCCUAUCCCCUCCCUGGAACAGAAGCCUGUUCCCAGCCCUGCAAGCAAAAGGGCCAAAAGGAUCACAGCCUGGAUGCAUGAGGCAGAACAAACAGCUCCUGUAACUUCCAAAGGGGACGGGAGGAGCAUACCCGCCUCACAGUGACUAUGGAAGCACCUCCAGGGAAGCUGAGGUUCCAGGAGGAGCUGGCCGUCAGGCCGUCCAUGGACAAUGCUGCUUCUAGCAGGGAUUCCAGCCACGAGGGUCAAGACACCAGGUUGACUCUUCUUUCCUCUGUCAUGGAAGUCUUGAUAGCCUUGGAGUUUUUGGAACAACUAGUUAUUGAUCCCAGAUAUCUGUUUUGGCCUUUCAAAUGCCACUCCCUGUUCGAUGCUCUCCAAUAAACAUGAUU